GCCGAGAUGGUGAAAUUGGUAGACACACUAGCAUGAGGUGCUAGCGCUUCGGUGUGAGGGUUCGAGUCCCUCUCUCGGCA
rnacentral:tRNA from 2 species